rnacentral:lncRNA from 1 species
GUGGCUUUAGAGUAUCAGAUAAUUUUAAAAAAUGAUAUAAAAUAAUGAAGUGAUUCAUACUCCAGAGAUUCAUCAUCUCCUUUUCUGGGAUAGGGCAUCUGAUGUACAAAUAAGGGCAAAUGACCAGGGGGCACAGAUUGUCAGACCUGAAACAGCAGUGUUCACUGGAGAAGUUUCAGACUGUAGGGGUAGCAGGCACGUGGGCACCUUUGGCCUGUUUAUUCUAGGCCAGCACAGAGUUCUAGCAAAGCCAGACUUCAGAUUGCCUGAGAGGGGCUUUCACCUGCAUAAUUAGGGAUGCUCCAGCCCCUCUCCUAGAGUGGUAAGAGGCCAUGAUACAAUAGCACUAUGACGUGAUGGAAUCUUGGCAGCAGCCCUAGCCCUUACCUAGAGAAUGGCAAAGCUGCAGAAGAAACUGCCAAUGGAGUGCUCAACUCCAGAAGCCUGAAACCUAGGUCGGCUUGGCAAGGUGCCUUGCGCCCCAGUGUCAUGGCUGCGGUGGAGCCGCCCACUUCAAGGGGCCCUGCAGAAUCAGACAGUGAGGAUAGUGGCAGCAAUCACAAUGGGCUGAAGAUUAAAUAACUCUUGUUGACUUUUUCAAGUAUUUAUAAGCUCCCCAGAUUCCCAUGGAAGUCUACAGAAGGACAUAAUGAGAAAAGUAGGUUUAAAGGAAAUAAUGUGAAAUUUCUUCCACACUUGAGUUGGUGAGUUAAACGCCACUUAGUCUAUAUGUGGUUUAAAUGUUGUCCCAUUGCCUCAUUAUGGCCUGAUGUAAAUUCAUAUGAAACUAGGAUAUUUAAAAGCUUAUUGGGAUAGCAAAAUAGAGUUGAUGUAUUCACUGCAAAGAUUAUGGAGACCAUUUAUUGCUCUGAACAUUUCAAUAUGUUGGCUUCUUGAGAUUCCAACCCCAAGGGGACAUGAUAGUGAUGAAGAUGGAGAAAUAGAAGUUUAAACAGCACAAUUUGAAGAGGGGGCAAAAGUAACACUUUGAUGAACCUAGACCAUAUAGACCAGUAUAAGGUCAGCAAAGUCUGGAGGACCAUGUGCUCUCUCCCUAGAUUGGACCAGAAGCCCAGGCUCUACUUUUAGGAAAUGGCUCAGAGAGCGCCCACUGAACUUGUCUCUGAUGUCUUAGGCAGAUCAAAUGCUUCUCUGGUCUCUGCUUUCACAGAUGGAGGAUCAGGGGUGUGUGAGCACCACCCCGCUUGGUCUUGGAGACGGAUCAAAUCCAGACUGGGUCACCAAGGAAGCCAGAGUGGAGGCUGCAGGGAAUAUGGAUUUAAAUGAAUUUUGGCUGUACCAUCAAGCAGUCUGAUCACUGAGGAAAUAUCAAAAGCUUCACCCGAGUGACUCAUCACCCAAAUUCAACAGAGAGACAGAAUGUUAUGAUGGAAAAAGCUCUGGGACCAGCAUGAGGUCUGGAUUGGAGUCCCUGGUGUGGCAUUUAUAAAACGUGAACCCUAGACUGAGACAGGUAAACUUAUUCUGAGUCUCAGUUUCUCCAUCUUUGAGAUGCCCUAAGAGUCUUCCUCAGAGCUCUAGUGAUGAUGUUUAGAGAGUAUCUUAUCCAAUACCUAGUACAUAAUAAGUGCUUAAAUAAUACUAUUAUUAUGACCUUGAUUUCUCCUUGGCACUAACUUGUUGCACCUGCUUCUAGGGUUGCCAACACAGAAAUGUUACCUUGUAGAGGAUUACUUGUGUCGUGCACACACUAGGGGAACUUUUCUGCUCUUUUACUCUCCUCUUUCCCUUUU